rnacentral:rRNA from 1 species
UGCAGUCGGACGGUAACAGGUCUUCGGACGCUGACGAGUGGCGAACGGGUGAGUAAUACAUCGGAACGUGCCCAGUCGUGGGGGAUAACUACUCGAAAGAGUAGCUAAUACCGCAUACGAUCUGAGGAUGAAAGCGGGGGACCUUCGGGCCUCGCGCGAUUGGAGCGGCCGAUGGCAGAUUAGGUAGUUGGUGGGAUAAAAGCUUACCAAGCCGACGAUCUGUAGCUGGUCUGAGAGGACGACCAGCCACACUGGGACUGAGACACGGCCCAGACUCCUACGGGAGGCAGCAGUGGGGAAUUUUGGACAAUGGGCGAAAGCCUGAUCCAGCAAUGCCGCGUGCAGGAUGAAGGCCUUCGGGUUGUAAACUGCUUUUGUACGGAACGAAAAAGCUUCUCCUAAUACGAGAGGCCCAUGACGGUACCGUAAGAAUAAGCACCGGCUAACUACGUGCCAGCAGCCGCGGUAAUACGUAGGGUGCGAGCGUUAAUCGGAAUUACUGGGCGUAAAGCGUGCGCAGGCGGUUAUGUAAGACAGAUGUGAAAUCCCCGGGCUCAACCUGGGAACUGCAUUUGUGACUGCAUGGCUAGAGUACGGUAGAGGGGGAUGGAAUUCCGCGUGUAGCAGUGAAAU